rnacentral:rRNA from 1 species
UGAAACACGGACCAAGGAGUCUACCGUAUAUGCGAGUCAUUGAGUUCUAAACUCAAUGGCGUAAUGAAAGUAAAGAUUCCGUAAGGUUUUGAUAUGCGAUCUCGGUUGCCUCGGUAGCUGAGAGCAGCAUAGCCCCGUCUUGACCGCUUGCGGUAGGGCGGAGGUAGAGCGCAUGCUAUGUGACCCGAAAGAUGGUGAACUAUGCUUGAACAGGAUGAAGCCAGAGGAAACUCUGGUGGAAGUCCGAAGCGAUUCUGACGUGCAAAUCGAUCGUCUGAUUUGAGUAUAGGGGCGAAAGACUAAUCGAACCAUCUAGUAGCUGGUUCCCUCUGAAGUUUCCCCCAGGAUAGCUGGAGCCUUUGAUAUAGUUAUACUCGGUAAAGCGAACGAUUAGAGGACUUGGGGUUGAAAUGACCUUAACCUAUUCUCAAACUCUCAAUGGGUAUGUCGUCUUUGUUGCAUGCUAGAACAUUGACAUUGAAUAUAGGCUCCAAGUGGGCCAUUUUUGGUAAGCA